rnacentral:lncRNA from 1 species
GAAGAUUUUCACUAUUCCUGUGAUCAUUUCUAACUCUCAGUGUUCGUUGAUAAAAGUUGACAAAAAAAAAAGCUUAAACAGUUACAACCCAUCAAGUGCUGCUACCCAAAGGGGUAGGUCCUUUCUCCUCAUAGAGUUGGACUGGUUGAGAUCAGUUUCUGCCUCUCUAGAAGUUUUAUACAGAAGACCUGCUGCCCUCAGCUGUGCCGUCAUCUUGCCAUCCAGGAUGUCAUGGCAUCACAGAUCAUGGAGACCUCUGCUGUGACCAGGUGUUCCAUUCCCACCCACCACCUGCUGCUCUUCAGGCAAGCCGCUGUGGACGAAUAGGCAGACUCAGACUUUUAAUAUAAAAAGGCA